UACGAAGGGAGCUAGCGUUGUUCGGAAUUACUGGGCGUAAAGGGCGCGUAGGCGGCUUCGAUAGUUGGGCGUGAAAGGCCCGGGCUCAACCCGGGGACUGCGCUUGAUACUGUUGCGCUGUGAGUCCGGGAGAGGAUGGCGGAAUUCCCAGUGUAGAGGUGAAAUUCGUAGAUAUUGGGAAGAACACCGGUGGCGAAGGCGGCCAUCUGGACCGGCACUGACGCUGAGGCGCGAAAGCGUGGGGAGCAAACAGG
rnacentral:rRNA from 1 species